rnacentral:rRNA from 1 species
CCUACGGGAGGCAACAGUAGGGAAUAUUGCUCAAUGGGGGAAACCCUGAAGCAGCAACGCCGCGUGGAGGAUGAAGGUUUUAUGAUUGUAAACUCCUUUUGUUAGAGAAGAUAACCACGGUAUCUCACGAAUCAGCACCGGCUAAUUCCGUUCCAGCAGCCGCGGUAAUAUGGAGGCUGCAAGCGUGAUGCGGAAUCACGGGGCGUAAUGAGUGUGCAGGCGGUCUUUUAAGUCAGAUGUGAAAUCCUGUAGCUUAACUACAGAACUGCAUUUGAGACUAUGAGACUAGAGUGUGGGAGAGGUAGGUGGAAUGCUUGGUGUAGGGGUAAAAUCCGUAGAUAUCAAGAAGAAUACUCAUUGCGAAGGCGACCUACUAAAACAUAACUGACGCUGAUGCACGAAAGCGUGGGGAGCAAACAGGAUUAGAUACCCCAGUAGUC